UUUGUCUGUCAAAUCUUUUACUUACCAGUAGGUGUAACCAAUAUAUUGAAGUGGUUUGGGUGUGUUAGUAAAAAAAAGACUAUGCAGUAGACCUACUGUAUAUCAUGUUGUUUCCUGAAACUCAAGUCGCUCAUUGUGAACAGACAGGUAACAUCAGACUGGUCAAAUGGCGUCGAUGGAGGCUGACGUUCAGGGGAAUGAUGCGGGCCGCUCAAACUUCUGCUUCCGCAAGAAAACCUUUGCGUGUCUGUGCGUGGCCACACUUUUUACAUUUAUUGGAGUCUGUCUAACUUACCUCCGCGAUGAACACAAGCCAAUUCCGUUGUUUCGUGCCCCUAAACGGGCAGUGACGCUUUUAAUAUGGGCGCAUCCUUUCGGAAACCGAGAUAUUCCGGACUGUUCAGCGCUGUAUAAGAUCGAUGGGUGCCGGAUCACCGAUGACAGGAGCGAGUACGCGCGAGCUGAUGCUGUGGUUUUUCACCACCGGGAGAUUGGCGCCGGCAGCGUCCAACUGCCAUCGGAACCACGGCCAAGCGCGCAAAAGUGGAUCUGGAUGAACUUCGAGUCGCCCUCGCACUCACCCAGACUAGGCAGCUUUGAGGGGGUUUUUAACCUCACGAUGAGCUACCGGAAGGAUUCAAGCAUUUUCAUCCCGUCCGGCAGCGUCAUUCCCGUCGGGCGCGAGGUAACAGGUGUCGCGCAGCCGCUCAGCACUCCGUCGGACUCAGAACUCUCCAGGCCCCACUUCGUGGCCUGGGUCGUCAGCAACUGGUCGCAGAACCAGGCACGAGUGAUCCUGUACAACAAGCUGCGCCAGUACAUCGACGUGGACGUGUUCGGGCACGGACAUCGCCCGUUACCUCCGGAGAGCGGCAACAACGUGGUGCAGCUGGUCCGACAGUACCUUUUCUACCUGGCCAUGGAGAACUCGCAGCACACGGAUUACAUGACGGAGAAGCUGUGGAACUCGAUAGAGGCCGGUGCCGUCCCGGUGGUCCUGGGUCCGUCCAGGAAGAACUAUGAGCGCUUUCUGCCCCCCGAAGCUUUUAUCCACGUAGAUGACUUCCCCACGGUGGAAGAACUGGCUCGGUACCUGCAGACGCUGAGGGUCAAUCCGCAUCGGCUGAAGAAGCACCUGGACUGGAGAAAGGGCUACAGCAUGCAUCGUGUUGCACCCUGGAGCGAGCACUACUGCACGGCCUGCAAGGUGGUGAGGAGCAGCUUGGGUAAGACGGACGUGGUCCAAAACCUGGGCGAGUGGUACAAGUCGUGACAACGAGAUCACCUCUAGCACCUGAACUAAUAUGCAGGAAAAGAGGAACGAACACCAAGCUUCGGGGAAAGAUGCAUUCGAUUUUACAGCCUUGGGUCUGGUGGGGAGUCAGAUAGGAGGGAGCCAGAAACCAGGUUGUAACAGACAGACACAUAUCAUAAACUUUAGUCACUCAAACAGAACAUCCAUCCAUUUUCUAUACCGCUUAAUCCCAUAUGGAGGUUGCGGGGGUGCUGGAGCCUAUUCCAGCUGGCUAUGGGCGAGAGGCAGGGUACACCCUGGACGGGUCACCAGCCCAUCGCAGGGCCUAACAGAACAUCAGAUGUUUAAACUUGAUGUAUGAAAGGACACAAGAGAUCAUUUGUUUGUUUGAGAAUGGUAAGUAUUGAUGACUGAUAAAGCACAAAGACACAAUUUUUCCCAUCACAGUCUGUUUUAACAACACUGUCUCACAUCUUUCCUGUCAUUCAUCCAAACUUUCCACACAGCACUGAUAUUAAACCUUCUUACAUGCCAUAAUUAUGUUGUCCCAGUUAUAUUAAUUGAGUUACAAUAACCCUGAGUAAAUGAACCUGACUUGUGUGGCCCCUCCUUGUUAUAACUUUUGGGCCGGUCUGUGACGAGUAAAUUAUGCCAUGUCUAUAUAGUAUAGCAAACACAUCAAGGACACAUCAGCAGUGACAAACAAAAGAACCUUUUUCAAGCAGUUGGUCAAAUAGCAGCUGAAAGUGAUGCCAGAAUAAAAAAGAUAGUUUUACCUGCAGUAUUUGUACUUUUCCCAGGGGUGUAAGUUUUUAUCAUUUGUAGUGAAUUGUUCAUUUAAAAUGACCUUCAUUAAAGUAGUUUGUUAAGUGGUUUAAAUCAUAUUAUAACCAGUACAGCAAUGAAGAUGUUGGGAAUAUUUCAAUGCAAACAUUGUUAUAUUACUGUUUGUUUGUAUUAUUGUUACACCCUGAGGAGGAGCGUGACUCUGGCUCUUUGUGGGUGGUCGUCGCUCAGGGCUGGGGAUGGCCACCAGCGACUCCUCUAGUGGGAACUUCACUUGGCACAGGAUUCCCCAUUGAACACAGCAAAUCCAAAAAACUCCAGCGUAGGUACAGACGGGGACAAGGCAGAGGCACGGGCAAACAACAGGCAGAAAACUGGUACAUGAACAAACUUACUGGUAAACGCUGGAGAGUUGUCACGGGCGUAUGAACAAACAAUCUGGCGGGGAACUAAGGUAAGUACUGGUGACUAUAUGCACAGGCUGAUUACUAACAAGGAACAGGUGGUGGAACACAUGACAUACUGGCAGGAACAAAACAGGAAAUGUCAAAAUAAAACAGGAAAUGGCAACAACAUAAGUGACACACAAGUUAAACAUGACAACAUGGGUCAGCUAUUUUUAGCUAUGUUUUAAAUGUUUCCGCUACUUUCUGCAAUUCUUCAGGAAUACAUUCCGCAUUGCCGCAUCGCUGUGUAUUUUCCUAUGAAAAUGCUCUAUCUAUUUUUUUUAUUAGUAUUAUUGUUCUUCCAUACAUUUUACAGUACUACCCACUGCACCACUGUGAAAGAAUUCAAAUAUAAAAAUAUUCAGCUUAAUCAAAAUUCAAAUCAAAAUUCAUCAGAAUUUCCCCAUUGAAAUGAAUGGAAAAAUGUUUUCAAAUACUCUUCAGCUUUGUCUUCUUUCAGCUUUAACUACUUGAGCAUAUUCUAAACACCGUUUAAGGUUUUAUCAGAUAUUAAACUAUUAAUCUUCCAUUCAGCUUUUUCAUAUCUUAAAUACUUUAGGAUCUAUAGCAGUUCAAAUAUUGUGUGGUUUUUGGCAAAUUUUCAGCGUUUCCAUUAGUGUGUAGUGCGUGAGCUAGAGUGCGUGAUGUCACAGCUAGAGUGCGAGGACUCGUUUUUUUAAGUCAGAAUGUCACUCUUUUACUUGUCAGAACAGCAACAAUUUUGAUUCUGUCAAAAUACUUUUUCACUUGUUCGUAGUCAUACUCGUCUUCUUUCUAAUGAUGUGUCUGGUUAAGCCAUCUGACCUAUACUUUAGUCUGUAGAUGCCUCAAGGUGCAGACUUCCAGAAUUCCUCCCAAAGACUCUAAUGCAUUUGACUUUUUCUGAGAAACGCAGAAGUCCUACAUAUUUAAAAGAACAAAAUGAACCUGAUUUUUUCGUCUUUCGUUUCCAUGGCAACGAUGCAGCUGCAGUAUUGACAGGACAAACUCUUGAUGCUCAGUGUAGAAACUCUAUGCAUCUUACUGAUCAGCUCAUUAAAGUGUUUAAUUGUUUAGUAAUUAUUCACACACUUCCCCUGAAUCCUUUCAAAAUAAAAGCACAAUCCAGAAUUUUAGCUUUAUUUGCACUAUCUUUGCUUUUGAAAUGGUAAUUGUGACUAGUUAAUAAAACUAUUUUACAGUUUUGCUGUUAAGUACACACAUCUCUUCCAAAUCCUUUCAAAAUAAAAGCACCAAACCAAAACCUUAACUUUAAAAGUGCCAUUUCUGCUUUUGAAUGGUUAAUUGUGACUAGGUAAUGAGUCUCACAGUUCCAAACUCUCAAGAUGCUCUACAUGCCACUUCUUUAUUAUUUUGUUGUUACUUCCGGUUGUGACCAGUCCCGUUUAGUUUCUGCUUUAUCUUCCAAUCACAUGAUUUAACCCACCUGUGUGUAAUCAGUUAUUAUAUUCUGUAUAUGUAGACCAGUACUCACCUUCAGUCCUUUGUCAGAUUGUUGCAUGCACUCACCACUUUUUAUACUAGACCAUGUUUCGUGUAUUGACCUUGUGCCUGUUCCUGUCUUGACCGCCUACCUAGUCCAUCUAUUUUUUACAGUUUUGAUCAGAAUGUAUUUGCUUAAUGAUAAUAACCAGAAGGGCCUUCAUGCAGAGACUAAAGGGUUAAUGUUUUUUUCUUUCAUCCCUGCCCUGUGUUUGUUUAGGGGAGAAAUGCUCAAAUUAAAACUGAGUCAUCUAUUAACAUUUUUAGUUGGUGAGCUUUGCAGCGGUGGGUCAUAUCUAUAAAAUAAAACAUUCAAGUUAAACCUUUUCAAAGUUUUGCUGCUGCAUGACUAAUUUCCAAGAGGAAUGUUUAUUCACUUGUCUAAUUAAAUACGCACAGUUUGCAGAUUCCAGCGCCACUUACAGCCGAGCAGGACGCCACUCAUUAUGUGCUUGUGGAGGGAGACAUCUAGUGGCGAACGGCUUCGUUUGCGUUUUAUACAAGGAUGCAGGGAGGACCGCCAGGCCUCCAGGUGUAGUUUCACCCGGAUCAACGCCAAAAAAACUGCUUUCGUUAUUCAGAUCACGUGAUCUGAGGGAUUGGUUACUUAUUAUCUCCACUGAGCUUAUUAGCUGAACCAUUAAAUAUGACGUGUGAGUUGCUUAUUCUCUAAUUUGCAUCUAUCAUAAAAUAAUAUAUGGCCCUCCGACUGAAUGACUGUGGCAAAUGUGUGUUUUUUAAAACUGACUUCCUCCAGUGGACACAUGUCCAGAGCCAAGGUGUUUACCCACCUACAGCUGGCAGGCCUCACAAAAGCCCCACUGACGAUAGAAGCAACACAG